rnacentral:rRNA from 1 species
ACGCUCGACACCUACGGAGGCAGCAGUGGGGAAUAUUGCACAAUGGGGGAAACCCUGAUGCAGCGACGCCGCGUGAGUGAAGAAGUAUUUCGGUAUGUAAAGCUCUAUCAGCAGGGAAGAAAAUGACGGUACCUGAGUAAGAAGCCCCGGCUAACUACGUGCCAGCAGCCGCGGUAAUCUGAGCGGCUGGCAAGGC